rnacentral:rRNA from 1 species
UACGAAGGGGGCUAGCGUUGCUCGGAAUGACUGGGCGUAAAGGGCGCGUAGGCGGCGGCUACAGUCGGAUGUGAAAUUCCUGGGCUUAACCUGGGGGCUGCAUUCGAUACGUGGUGGCUAGAGUGGGGAAGAGGGUCGGUGGAAUUCCCAGUGUAGAGGUGAAAUUCGUAGAUAGUUGGGAAGAACACCGGGUGGCGAAGGCGGCGACCUGGUC